GUACCUUUUACAAAAGUGAAGAGAACUUUGGGUAAUAUUUGCCAUAUAGAAAUAGCACUUUUACCCUUAACUUUUUCCUUUGUUUUUUUUUUUUUUUCUUAACUUGUCAGUGUAGCCUUUGUAUAAAAGCCAUAAGGAUUUGAAAAAAAUUAAGUAAUUUUUUUUCCCGCCCAAUUAUGGAGAGACAAUUAAUCCCGUCUGUGACCUUUCAACGAAGGCUCAGGUGAGUAAUCAUUAACAAGGCUUAAUGGAAAAGUCCAUUAUGGCUCCGCGGGGCAACUUUGAAAGAAUGCCGACAAGCGACUGACAAGCCCACAAUGCAACGGGGCCGCGGCGCGCUCAACGCAAGUCUACCGCCAAGUCAUUACCACCAUUUGAAUACGAGCGCGCCGGGCGGAGCAGCCAAACAGCCGUUGAAAGAGACGAGCUCGAGGGAGACCAUCGAGUGAUUUUUUUUUUUUUUUUUUUAUGACAAGGAAGAGAAUGGCUGGCUCCCCCACUUGCCCUUUCUCCAUCGUCCCCCCGCCCGUCUUUUCUGGCGAGACGAGGCUGCCUGACAAGCUGGUCAUUAGGAAGCUAAUUUAACAAGCUGUGCAGAGUGCUUUUCUUUUUUAGCCCCUCUCCAACAUCAACACGUCUUGUUUCCUGCCCUUGCUUAUUACUAUUAAAUAAAUCAAAAGAUGGGACAGUAAGCGGGAGGGGAAAGUUCAAGAGCGCCGUGAACAACAUGCAAACGCAUUCCGCAAACAUGGCCGACGCGGUGAAUUUCCAAACAUGGCCGAUACGUGACACUAAAGACUGCCACAAACACGCUGAAUUUUGACAGAGUUUAUUUUGAUCAUUCUAACUCUCACAAAGUUAAAGUCUCAGCCCCGACCACUGACCUGAGAGAAAAAAAAGACUGGAUGGUUCAUUGGCCACCAAAACGGAACUCACCAUCCGCCAUCUUGAUACUCCCAAAACAACCGUGCCGACCUGUGUGUUAAUCGCCAGUUUCGUGCCUGUGACAAUACAUUCCACAGAGAAGCUGAACUGCGGGUAGUCAAACAUGGCGCCCAGCCAGGAGAGGGCGUCGUCGACGAAGGCCAACAGCGCCAUGAAGGACAAGAGGUUGACCACCACGUUGGCCACUAGGCUCACUGCGAAGAUGGCCCCUUGCGACGCCGCCUCCAGCAGCCGCAAGGUGGCACUCGAGCGGAAAAGAAAGUUUUGGAGAUGGCCAGCGAGGCGGGAGCGGACAUCAAUGACGCCGUCAACAAGUGCGUAG